GAUGAACGCUGGCGGCGUGCCUAAUACAUGCAAGUCGAGCGAACAGACGAGGAGCUUGCUCCUCUGACGUUAGCGGCGGACGGGUGAGUAACACGUGGAUAACCUACCUAUAAGACUGGGAUAACUUCGGGAAACCGGAGCUAAUACCGGAUAAUAUAUUGAACCGCAUGGUUCAAUAGUGAAAGACGGUUUUGCUGUCACUUAUAGAUGGAUCCGCGCCGCAUUAGCUAGUUGGUACGGUAACGGCUUACCAAGGCGACGAUGCGUAGCCGACCUGAGAGGGUGGUCGGCCACACUGGAGGUGAGACACGGUCCAGGCUCCUGCGGGAGGCAGCAGUAGGGAAUCUUCCGCAAUGGGCGAGAGCCUGACGGAGCAACGCCGCGUGAGUGAUGAAGGUCUUCGGAUCGUAAAACUCUGUUAUUAGGGAAGAACAAAUGUGUAAGUAACUAUGCACGUCUUGACGGUACCUGAUCAGAAAGCCACGGCUAACUACGUG
rnacentral:rRNA from 1 species